ACUGACAAUGGAACAGGCUCCUCCGGUGAUGAUUCACCAACAGGAUCCCUUUCGCCCCUCCCUACACAGCUCCCACCCGCUUCCCAGUUGACUGAAUCACAAGCCGAACACUUCAAUGACAAAUUUUAUUGGAUGCAGCAACAGCAGAUGCCCGAUAAAAGUCAUAAAUCCCCUCCACACAUAGGGAAGGAUAUGCCCAACAUUGAUUCUGUUCCCGUUGAACCACCUACCUCCAAUUUCCCUCAUACUGCACCUCCCCAGCCGCAUCCAGUUCCUGAUGCCAAUUUCUGCAUUACUGUCCUACCGGACGUCAUACAAACAUCGCAGUCAAUCCACCAGAAAGCCCGCGUGUGCGAUACGCCGCCACUGUUUGAUAAGACUCCUCAAGACAAGAGAUUACAAGACCAGACCACACAGGUUGAGCCAUCAUCAAAGAGUUCUACACCGAAGCCAAGCUUUGACACCACGGUAAUUCUGUUUCCCAGCCAACACACAUCAUUGUAUGAUUAUUUAUGUUCUCUGAACCAGUUUCAACACCUUGUGUCAUGGUUUUGUCCCUUCAGCCUAUAACACCAGGACUAGAUGGCUCUAGGCCAAAAUUUGACGAGACACCGAGAGCUGAUCCCGAUGUCACUCCUCGUCCCGAACAAGACAGAACACCCUGUUCCAACUCCAAGUCAGAAGCAUCACUGCGCCAACGCUACCACACAGUAUUAAGACUACGCGAACUGCUCUGCACCGACAAACAUGCUCUACCUAGCACCAAACUUAUGCAACACGGGGAUACAUUUGUAAAUGGGUCAGAUGUUGCCGACUCUUUUAUGGAUGGGAAGCCGCUACAGC